UUUUUUCAAUAAAUAAAUGGAACAAAAUGUCUGUAUGUGUUAUUUUUGAUAAAUUGUAAAUUUUUGUAAAUUACAAAAAUAAUAAUAACAAAAUGGGGUUGGAGUUUGUCGGAUGAAGUGGUUUUACUGGAUCCGUCGGCUUUUAUACAAAUUAGUACACCCAGCAAAUGCAAUGUUACGACGAAAGCGCUAUACGCAUAUAUGAGAAAGAGUUGAUGGCUUCCGCCUUCAGGAGGUGGCACAUUUAUUGCCUCAAGAGCCAAAUAGCCCAGGAGGAGAAGUACCAAGCAGCCCGAGCUAUUUAUUUAAGGAGCAUGUACAAACACUACUUCCAAAUGUGGAGAGAGCUGCCAAAAUUGAACUACGAAAAAAUAGAACAGGAGAAGAGAAUAAGAGAUUGGGAAUCGUCGGUUCAGAAGAUUAUCCCCGAUUUUCAAAUUCAGGAAUAAAUCCUACCGUCAACAAAAAAGUGCGUUUUUGCUCAUAACACAAUCCGAAGAUGCCUGCCUAAAUAAUGAGAUUAGUUGGAAAAAGAUGAUAAAAAGUCUUUAAUCUACAGAAGAAAAAAAUCUUUAGCUUUAUUGUUUCUUAAAGGAUUUUUGAAAGGACAUAACAACUGGCAAGAUAAUGACUCGUUUAUCAUCGAUAAAGAUCACUUAAAUUUGUAAUUGCAGACCAAUCAGCAGAAAUAGUAAAGCAUUUCUGUCAAUUUACAAUAAAUAGAACAACUUAUACCUAU
rnacentral:misc_RNA from 1 species